rnacentral:rRNA from 1 species
GACGGAGGGUGCUAGCGUUGUUCGGAAUCACUGGGCGUAAAGGGCGCGCAGGCGGCCCCUCGCGUCGGACGUGAAAGCCCGGGGCUCAACCCCGGAACGGCGUCCGAUACGGGGGGCUCGGAGGCCGGGAGAGGGGGGUGGAAUGACCCAGUGUAGAGGGUGAAAUUCGUAGAUAUUGGGUGGAACACCGGUGGCGAAGGCAGGUCUCUGGGCUGUAACUGACGCUGAGGAGCGAAAGCAUGGGGAGCGAAC